GAUGAAGAACGUAGCGAAAUGCGAUAAGUAGUGUGAAUUGCAGAAUUCAGUGAAUCAUCGAAUCUUUGAACGCACAUUGCGCCCUUUGGUAUUCCUUAGGGCAUGCCUGUUCGAGCGUCAUUUAAACCUUCAAGCUAAGCUUGGUGUUGGGUGACUGUCCGCUUCACGGCGGACUCGCCUCAAAAUUAUUGGCGGCCGGUACAUUGGCUUCGAGCGCAGCAGAAACGCGAACUCGGGCCCGUCGUAUUGGCUCCCAGAAGCUAUCUUCACAAUUUUGACCUCGGAUCAGGUAGGGAUACCCGCUGAACUUAAGCAUAUCAAUAAGCGGGGA
rnacentral:misc_RNA from 1 species